CAGCAGCCGCGGGAAUACAGAGGGUGCGAGCGUUAAUCGGAUUUACUGGGCGUAAAGCGUGCGUAGGCGGCUUUUUAAGUCGGAUGUGAAAUCCCUGAGCUUAACUUAGGAAUUGCAUUCGAUACUGGGAAGCUAGAGUAUGGGAGAGGAUGGUAGAAUUCCAGGUGUAGCGGUGAAAUGCGUAGAGAUCUGGAGGAAUACCGAUGGUGAAGGCAGCCAUCUGGCCUAAUACUGACGCUGAGGUACGAAAGCAUGGGGAGCAAACAGGAUUAGAUACCCCAGUAGUCCCUGUCUCUUAUAU
rnacentral:rRNA from 1 species